UCUCGAUAGCGUAAAAGUUAAAUCAAAUUUGUAUGGUGUUUUAACGUUCGUCUACGUUUGCCGCUAGGGGCGCUGUUUUAACUGCAUACAAAUUUGAGUUACUUUUACGCUAUUGG
rnacentral:pre_miRNA from 9 species